AGGAGCGUUGAGAGCAAGGAGGAGCGAGUUGGGGGCGGAGACGAGGAAGUGGGUGCGAGGCUCGGGGCGCAGGCCGUGCGCGCGCCGCCCGCUCCAUCCCUGCCCGGCAGCCGGCGCGGGCGCUGGACCAAGGCAAACCCGGUGCGGAGCCAACGCCCGCCGCAGCAGCACCAGCUCCUGUCCUCCACUGACUCCAGAGAAGGAGAUCCCCAGUCCUUGACCCCAUCACGCAGAUGGGACCAGGCACCAGCUAUGGAGAGGGAUACAGCCAUGUCUCCACAUGACCCAUCCUGCAUGACACCAAAGCCACCGCCAGACAGUACCUUGGAUUCUAUGCAAAACCUGGAGAGUGGAGACUUGCCCCAGCCCUGGGAGGAAGCUAGCUCUUCAGGGGAUCAUCCGAGGACUGGAGUUUGAUCCAUGAACCUGGCUUCAAGGCCUUGCUUUUCUCUCUUGUUCAUUCAUACUCAUUCCCAACACCUUAGAAGAGAUUGCUUAAUUUAUUUCUAGAAAACAGCCCUGAGUCAGUCAUCAAAGGUCCCCCUCCAAAAAAAAAAAAAAAAUUGGACACACUGUGGCUCUGUUGGGAGCCUGGAGUCCAGUGGUUGGCAUAAUUGUCACACUGGGAGAAGAGAAGAAGCAGCCAGGAGCCCUGGUCAGGGGACAGAGCCACAGGGUCCCAGGAUGGCGCCCAAUGGCACAGCCUCUUCCUUCUGCCUGGACUCUAUUGCAUUCAAGAUCACCAUCAGCGUGAUCCUUGGGAUCCUCAUUUUCAUCACUGUUGCUGGCAAUGUGGUCGUCUGUCUGGCUGUGGGCUUGAACCGCCGGCUCCGCAAUCUGACCAAUUGCUUCAUUGUGUCCUUGGCUGUCACGGACUUGCUCCUCGGCCUCCUGGUGCUGCCCUUCUCUGCCAUCUACCAGCUGUCCUGCCAGUGGAGCUUUGGCAAGGUCUUCUGCAAUAUCUACACCAGCCUGGAUGUGAUGCUCUGCACAGCCUCCAUUCUCAACCUCUUCAUGAUCAGCCUCGACCGGUACUGCGCCGUCAUGGACCCGCUGCGGUACCCUGUGCUGGUCACCCCGGUUCGGGUCACCAUCUCUCUGGUCUUAAUUUGGGUCAUCUCCAUUACCCUGUCCUUCCUGUCUAUCCACCUGGGGUGGAACAGCAGGAACGAGACCAGCAAGGGCAAUCAUACCACCCCUAAGUGCAAAGUCCAAGUCAAUGAAGUGUACGGGCUGGUGGAUGGGCUGGUCACUUUCUACCUACCGCUAUUGAUCAUGUGCGUCACCUACUACCGCAUCUUCAAGGUAGCCCGGGAUCAGGCCAAAAGGAUCAAUCACAUUAGCUCCUGGAAGGCAGCCACCAUCAGGGAGCACAAAGCCACAGUGACACUGGCUGCCGUCAUGGGGGCCUUCAUCAUCUGCUGGUUUCCCUACUUCACCGCAUUUGUGUACCGUGGGCUGAAAGGGGAUGAUGCCAUCAAUGAGGUGUUAGAAGCCAUUGUUCUAUGGCUAGGCUAUGCCAACUCAGCCCUGAACCCCAUCCUGUAUGCUGCGCUGAACAGAGACUUUCGCACCGGGUACCAGCAGCUCUUCUGCUGCAGGCUUGCCAGCCGUAACUCUCACAAAACUUCUCUGAGGUCCAACGCCUCUCAGCUGUCCAGGACCCAAAGUCGAGAACCCAGGCCACAGGAAGAGAAACCCCUAAAGCUCCAGGUGUGGAGUGGGACAGACGUCACGGCCCCCCAGGGAGCCACAGACAGAGAGUUUGGGGAGUGAGAGCCCCUCCCACUCCUGGAGAGGAAGUCAGGGGAAGGAGAGCAGAAAGAGGAGGUGGGAAGCCCUUUACAGCCUCAAAAGUCAAGGAGAAUAAAUCGUGGCCCCCCCCCAGGAGUCACUGAAAGGAAGCCAGCACUGUCCCGUACUUCAUGCUCCAGCAACCUCCUGAGCUGCUACAAGAGCCUGUGGGGGCUCAGGUUCCUUUGGAGACAUAUGGGAGGCCCCUUGGAGGAGCCGCCGGGGGAGCCACUCUCUGAGGAGCCACAGAAGAGACCUCCCCAAAAAGCGAUGCGGACGCCGCCUUCCCAGGCUGUCUAGACCUGGCCCCAGGACACUGAAGAUACUGCUCCUGGUCCCCGAGAUGUGACUCCUGGAGCUCCUAAGGACCCAGUCUCCAAAGCCCCAAUGACUCACCCUGGACUGAGUCUGGGGGCUCCCAGAGCACACAGCUGAUUGUGGGGUGUGCAGGCCUAGGGCAGAGCAGCCUAUUCUGUACUCAGUAUUCCCAGACGGGCAUGCAAGACUCCUCUGGGCCUGAGUGGGCCAAUUCCCAUAGGUCCCAAGCUCACAUUGGUGCUGGCCCUGGGAGUCACAAGCAGAGACGGUGGGACAGGCAGGGAUGCGUGCACAUGUGUAUGCAUGGGUGCCUACAUGUAGGAACAUGCAUGUCCUCUGAGCAAGGCAGAGGGUAUUGCAAGAAAGCACUGGCCUCUCACUCCUUCAUGGGUUCUGCAGGAUGAAGGAAAGGAAAGGAAAAGACAGAAAAAGGAAGGAAGUAGCUCUUAAUGAGCACCUACUGUGUACCAGGUGCUUCCCCAGCAUGAGCUCUCUCGUAACCCUUAUAGCAGCAACAUGAGUUUACGGCAAGAAUCACCACCACCCUGACUUUACAGAGGUGGAAACAGACUCAGAGAAGUGUGGGAACUGUCCAAGGCCACUCAGCACCCAGAAAGUGUGCCUGGCACAGAGGAGGCAUGCCAAAAUAUUUGUUGAAUGGGUGAAUGAAUGAGAGGAUGGGCCAGCCCUCAAGCCCAUACUCCUGACACUGCACUACCCCGCCUCUCAGGACAGAGGGCAAAGGUUUUCUUGACUCAGCCACCUUCCUCCUAGCAAGGCUUAGAGCCCCAGGCUCUGGGGGGUCCCUUCCUGCUACAGUAUGACCCUCUCUGGUGCUUGUCAUCAAGAGGCGGUGUGUGGUGGACUUGCUGGGGAGAGUGUCUGCAGCCAGGCACCAUGGAGGGAGGGGUGGAGGCUGAGGGACUAUAAUGGUUAUGAGUAGGGGAUUUGGGCCCCAGCACUGUCUGCUGGCUGCAUGCCCUUGGGCAUAUCAUCUAACCCCUCUAAACAGCUUUUGGGUCCCCUGUCCAAGAGGGUAGGCUCCCUGUUCCUAUUUACAGGAUCCAUAAAGAGACUCAAAGAGAUAGGGUAGUGCCAGCCCCAGAGAGAGGGGGCUGUGAAGGGCCUUCUGCCACCAGGGCUUCUCAGUGGCAUCUCCUGGCUGACCCCAACACUCAGGGUUCCUUGGUUUCCAAGAUGCCCUGUGGUCUUCCCCCUCCCUGACAUCCUUGACCCCUCCUUUCUGUCCCUUUUGCAACUCAUUGUCCUCUUCCUGCCAUCAGAUGUGGCUGUUCUCCAGGCUCAGUCCCGAGUCCUCUCUUCUCACUCAACAUCUCUCCCUCUGUGACCUCAUCUGCACCCACAACUCCAGUUACAAGGCACGAGGUUCGGUUAUGAAAUCGCUCACAGAUUUAUGACUGCAGGCUUGGCUCCUUCCGGGAGCUUGAGACCCGCUGCCGCCUCCGCCUCCGCAACGCCUCCACCUGGGAGAUUCAGGGGCGCUGUCCCUCGGCGUGUCUGCAGCUGCCAGCCUACCUUCCCCCUGCACCCGCCCUGCUUCCCAGCUCCCCUUCUCACACCUACGCCUUCACAGGGUGAGGGUCCACCUUGCCACCUCCUUUUGCCUCAGUCCUUAUGGAGUCCUGGCUCCACCGUCUGCUGGCUGCUUCCCAUCUACCCUGUGUCACUCCAUCCGGCCACCAUCGUCUCCAUCAGGACAGCUGGAACACCUCGGCACUUCCACCCCCACGCAGUCCACCCUCCACCUGACAGCCAGAGCAGGCCAUGCCAGAGCAACCCAGGUCAUGCGUCGCGGGUGGAUAAAACCAUCUUCAACCUGGCCCUCAGGCCCUAUGUGCUGGGACCCUGCUGGGCCCUCUGCAGCCUCCCCCUGUACCAGGCCUCCUCCAUCACUCCACUCAGGACCUGCUGUGCUUUUCCUUUUGGUAUGAUUAACUUGCUCUGCCCAUUCCAUGUUCAAAGCUGUUUCUGUGACUAAAUGCUCCUUCUGUCCAUUUCAGUGCUCUGAACUGUCACUUCCUUCAGGAAGCCCUCAUUGACCCUCCGCACCAGGCCAGGUCCCCUGCCACAGCCCUCAGAGCUCUCCUUGGAAGGCACUGGCACAGCUGUGAUGUCACGGCUGUUUGUGUGACUCUUUGAAUGUUGUCCGUCUCUCCUCCUCACGAGGCCGUGGGUCCUGGCUAUUUCCAGUGACCACUGUCUGUCUAGCCCCUAGAGGAAAGUUUGUUACAUGGUAGGAGCUUAAUAAAGACGUGUUGGAUGAAUGAGCAGAGGAAAGAGACCGCGCAGAGGGUGGACAAAACAGAUGCUCUCAGCAGUGUAUCUGCCAACAAACCUAAAGGCAUGAUUUGCCCUGGUGACCCCCAGAGGUCCUUAGUAUCUUGGCUGAAUUCCUUCUGGAAUCCCCGGAACCACCUCCUUGGAAGGUUUCCCAGGAGUCGAGGCAGGCGGGUCUCUCAGUCAUGGCCACAUGACCUCGAGUGAAAACAAACCAGUCUGGCUUAUCACAGACUCAGCUGGUCACAACUCUGGCCCGAGGUGCCCACGCACCACCCACCACAGCAGAGGACGCCUCCGUGUCUGUCUCUGGGCUGCCCCCGCCUUCUGCAGGCCUCCUGGGGCCUCUGCUGGCUGCAGAAGUGGGGUGCAUGUUGCCUGGAGGAGGAACAUCUGUGGUGGGACCCCAAAUCCAUGUUUGUGUUACCAUCAUGUUCCAAUAAAACUAUCGAAACAGA